ACGUAGGUGGCGAGCGUUGUUCGGAUUUAUUGGGCGUAAAGGGUCCGCAGGGGGUUGGACAAGUCUGAUGUGAAAUCUCAUGGCUCAACCAUGAAAUUGCAUUGGAAACUAGCCGACUAGAGUACCGGAGAGGAAAGCGGAACUCCAGGUGUAGCGGUGGAAUGCGUAGAUAUCUGGAAGAACAUCGAGAGCGAAGGCAGCUUUCUGGACGGUUACUGACCCUCAGGGACGAAAGCAUGGGGAGCAAACAG
rnacentral:rRNA from 1 species